rnacentral:rRNA from 1 species
UAAAAAAUUUGGCGGUAUUUUAGUCUAUUCAGAGGAACCUGUUCUGUAAUCGAUAAUCCACGAUGGACCUCACUUAAAUUUGUUUUCAGUUUAUAUACCGUCGUUAUUAGAAUAUUUUAUAAGAAUAUUAAUUUUCAUAAUUUUUAAUUUGAAAAUAUAUCAGAUCAAGGCGUAGCUUAUAUCUAAGUAGAAAUGGGUUACAAUAAAAUUAUUUGAAUGAAUUUAAGUAUGAAAUAUAUUGAUUGAAAGUGGAUUUGAUAGUAAAAUUAUAUAGAUUAAUAAUUUGAUUUUAGCUCUAAAAUAUGUACACAUCGCCCGUCACUCUUAUUAGUAAGAUAAGAUAAGUCGUAACAUAGUAGAUGUACUGGAAAGUGUAUCUAGAAUGACAAUUUAAAGCUUAUUCAGGGAAGCAUUUCAUUUACAUUGAAAAGAUUUUUGUGCAAAUCAAUAUAAAUUGAUAUAUUUUAUUUAUUAAUUUUUUUUUAUUAUUGAUUUAUUAAAAAUAAUUAUAAAUUUUUUAGUUUUAGUAUUUUAUAAAGAAAAAAUAAUUUUUAUUAUAGUUUAAUAGUAUUGUGAAAGAAAAUUGAAAUAAUUUGAAAAAUUAUUAUUUUAAAAG